CACACAUGGCAGGAGGGUGGGAACGGACCUGGGGGAGCCCCACAGAUGCUUGCCCCGAGUUUAUUCUCCUUCAAGCACCUGCAUGGCCAAUGCUGGAAAAGGCAUGCUGAGCCUGAUGAACCUUUUGCCAGGGACAGGAUGGCCAUUUUCACAGGAUGAGCAGGGCACACGAUGAUUCUUAAGCUUGCUUCUUCUACGAAGAAGUGAGAGAAGACAGCAGAGGACAGCCUUUAGAGCAUCUUCUGAAGCUUCCGUUCUCUGACAUAUCAACCUGGAGUAGCAGCUACCCCGUCUUUGAAGAUUAGUUCCAUAAAAGAUAAACGUCUUCUACAGUAAAUAAUAAAUUACAAAUAAGGGUCUUAAUGAUUUUCUUGCUCUUCACUGCCCCAGGAUCAUUAAUUACACCGUUCAGGAUAUUCUGCCUUUUAGGCAGUUUCAACCAUUAUAACUUUCAUGUCUGCAAAGAGCAACAACAAAAAAACCCAAAACAAUAAAAGCCCACAGGCUUUGGGAAACUCAA